UACAGAGGGUGCAAGCGUUGUUCGGAAUUAUUGGGCGUAAAGGGCGCGUAGGCGGUGCGGUAAGUCUGUAGUGAAAUCUCUGGGCUCAACUCAGAGUCUGCUGCAGAAACUGCCGUGCUUGAGUGUGGGAGAGGUGAGUGGAAUUCCCGGUGUAGCGGUGAAAUGCGUAGAUAUCAGGAAGAACACCCGUGGCUAAGGCGGCUCUCUAGUACGGUACUGACGCUGAGACGCGAAAGCGUGGGGAGCGAACAGG
rnacentral:rRNA from 1 species